rnacentral:pre_miRNA from 1 species
CCUGGUUUUCUCUGGUGCAUAGAUUAACGCUUUGAAUUUGUGUCUAGCACCAUUUGAAAUCAGUUU